rnacentral:rRNA from 1 species
CCUACGGGUGGCAGCAGUGAGGAAUAUUGGUCAAUGGGCGCGAGCCUGAACCAGCCAAGUCGCGUGAGGGAGGACGGCCCUACGGGUUGUAAACCUCUUUUGCCGGGGAGCAACGGGCGUCACGUGUGGCGCCACUGAGAGUACCCGGAGAAAAAGCAUCGGCAAAUCCCGGACCAGCAGCCGCGGUAAUACGGGGGAUGCGAGCGUUAUCCGGAUUUAUGGGGUUAAAGGGGUGCGUAGGCGGAUCGUUAGGUCAGUGGUCAAAUUGAGGGGCCCAACCCCUUCCCGCCACUGAAACUGGCGCUCUUGAGUGGAAGAGAAGUAUGCGGAAUGCGUGGUGUAGCGGUGAAAUGCAUAGAUAUCACGCAGAACCCCGAUUGCGAAGGCAGCAUGCCGGCUUCCGACUGACGCUGAAGCACGAAAGCGUGGGGAUCGAACAGGAUUAGAUACCCUGGUAGUC